UUUGAUAUCUGUGCCCCCAGAAUGAACACCACGUAUUGAAGACAGCUCUUACCCUUGCUGGAACUUCACAGCCUUCUGGAAAAGCCUGAGGAAGGUGAAGAUCUGAGAGGGCUUUAUGGGGUAAGGUUUUUUAAGAUGGAAUGCACAACAUGCAGUUCCUUUUUGUGAACAAAUGUGAAAUCUGUGUCAGGAGCUAUAACUUAAAAUACCUUCCCCAAUCCACAAGUAUUUAUCUUUUUCCCUUAACAUUCUGUGUAGACUUUUUUUGAACCCACUGCAAAGCUCGAGCAGACUUCACUAUCCCCGGCUUUAUUUUCUACCAAAAUGUCAACAUUUAAGUCUGCAGCUCAUGUACCAACAAAAUACUGUUUGGGAUUUCCCUUUUCCAUAUAUAUCUGCAUCUGAAUUUUUAGUCAUGAAUGUCACUGCCCAUUUUUUGCAAGGCACAUGAAUAGACUGUGAACAAACUUUCUUUCCAUACCAGAAUUAAGCUGAAGCAUAGACACAACACAAAGGUGCAUCUUCUUUGAAAAAAAGUGCAGCAAUUCCACGGUUUCUUCUCACUUGCUGCCUAAGCUGUAGCAAAGCAGGAGACUUGUGGCAUUAGCACAGGGAGCUCUCUGCAUGUCUCCUGCUCUCCAGCCUGCCCUAAAGCUGGAGCUGUCUGCACUUCCCUCCUAAGCAGCUGCUCAUCAGUGACUGCAGGGUAAGGGUAUGUAAGGAGACAUCAAUUCCUAGUGAGGAUAGGUCAUAUAUCUAAGUUUCCAUUAAUGCUGUCAGUUAAAUGGAUAGGUGACUUCACCUAAUUUUUGGGUUUUUAACAUUUUUAAAUUUAUUUUUCAAGUAAAAUCCAAAAAGGUCCUUUGGGAAGGAUUGAGGAUGAGGGUUGGUCCUCUGCUGAGUUAUGUUGUUUGCAAAAUCAAGUUUUUCUCUGCAGCACAGAGAGGAUAUGAAAAUAUUUAUGUUUAUGCUGACAUGGAGAUAUUCUACAUAUCCACCCUUUCUGCUUGAUACUUAAGGGUCUGUUAAUACAGCAAAUUCAUGCUUGUGGAUGGAAACCACGCGGGUGAGAUUAAUCCUGUAUGGUUUGGGCAGUCACACCAUGCUCCUGAGAGCUCCCAGACUAAGAACCCUGGGAGAUUGGGGAGCACAGGUGGUUUUUGGGUGAGAGGAGGCUCGCUCUGGCCUCACAGCCCCACCCAGCAGGGGCAGUGAUGCUCGGGGGUGUUUUCUGCUCCUUCACAACAACAGGUGGCUGUCUUCCCCCACAGGCAGGGCAUGGAGGAAUUGAGGAAUUUACUCAAUUCUCAAUUUAUUUCCAGUGUCUGAUGGGGGUAAGGAUGGGGGCAAACUGUGCUGGUUCAAGUAAUGCUCACACAGACUGGUAGAGGGUUUUCUUGCCCAGACACUCCCUGUGGCCAGCAGCUGGUUUGGAAUAGUGGCACCACCUGAGCCUUUUUGUGAGCUGGUCCUUCAGAUCCACAGAUGGGAAUGUACAGAGCAGUCAGUGACUCGCCAUUGGUAGCACUGUGCCUCUUUAUUUUUGUAAAAAAACCCAUUUUCUAUUGCACAUGGACAAGUGGGAAGGGAACAGCCUGCAGGAGAGGAAGGAGAUGGCUUUGAGACCUGCAGUGCUCCAAGAUGCAGCAAAACUGUGCAAAAGUCCAAUAAUUACCUCUUAAAGCCAAAGAAUGCCUGACUCCACUAGAGGCCACUCACCAAACACAGGCCAACACAUCCCAGCAAUCUCCUUUCCCAGACACAUCCCUCAGGUCUGGGACACUGCAAAUGAUAAUGAGAAGAGGGGAAAGGCAUUCUUGUAUUUCUCAGUGGGAAAAGUUUUUAAAUAUGCUGGCAUUUUACAGACAAAUGAGGCACCCUGAGUGCCACUGUAGAUGUGUCAAGUGGGACAGAGACUUUAUGUGAAAUGAAGCUUUGGAAAGGAAAACUUGUCAUUUUCCUGUGAGAAGAUAGGGCAGCCUUCCAUAAGAGUACUCUAUAAAAAUACCCAGUCUGCCCAAAGAUACCAUCUGAUAUAUAAAGAGAUUACUCAUUUAUUUAAAAGAUAGUUACUGAAUAAUUUUUAAAGUGUUGUGAGAUUCUUGUGAAUUAACAUUCCUCAGUGUGAUGGAAAGAAGCUUAGUCCUGACCUGUACCUCAGGGUCCAUUUUGGCUGAGAUCAGAGCACUCAGAAUUUGAUACUGUCAUUUUCCAUCAGUAGGUCUGAUAUUUGAUGUCAAUAAAAGCUGAGUCUGUCCUGCAGACUCUUGGAUACAAGGCUUUUCUGCAGAUAGUUGUGCUGGGAAGCUAAUAUGGUUUAGUUGCUGAUUUUGUAAGUUAGAACAGGUCUAGGUAAGUGGUAGCAUUUGAAUGGAGGAGUUUUCCAGGGUAAGUCAGAUGUUGAGCCCGGGCGAGGCUGCCUCAUGAUGGCUCAAUGAAUGACACAUAACAAACCAAUUUGAGCAGCAUAGAUUUUUGUCAAUUUUAAAUGUCAUUGACUAACUCAGUAGCCAUCUGUCUUAGCUGGAUUAAUAUCCUGAUCAUCACACAACAUUUUGGCUGUUGUGCAGUACUGAGAGUCGAGGAGCCAAUCUUCAGACGCGGUGUGAAGCCACCAUCCUGCCUGGUGCUGUCCCCAUAGAGGACAUCCUGCAUCCUGCCAUUUUUCAGGGAAACACAGCCAAGCAUGGGAUGGAGAGACACUGCUGAGAGUGAAUUUUUUGCAGUAUUCCCUCACAAAAUCACUGUUCUGGUUCACUGUCCCAAGCCAGUGGGACAGGGGCUUGGAGCAGCCUGGGAUAGUGGAAGGUGUCCCUGCCCAUAGCAGGGGAUGGAACAAAGUGAUCUUUAAGGUUCUUUCUAACCCAAACCAUUCUGGGAUUCUGUGAUUCAUAGGGGUUAAUGAAGUAAAAAGGAAUUAUUCAAGGAAUAAUUCAAAAGGAAUUAUAAGGAAGAAAUGUUUAAAAGGUUUUUUACUCAUCAGUGAGAAGUAGCACUAGUCCUGCCCAUGGAUCCAGUGUAUCCAGUGGGGAUGUUACUGGGCAUUCUGCUUCCCCCCUGCCAACCAUCUGUAAAAGCCCAGAUAGUCCCAAUCCAAACAGCUCACCCAAAAGCAAGCAAAAAACCUGUUGUACACAGAGCAUUUGAAGAAAAAUUUUGUGCUACUAUCACAGGUCCAUGUGACAGUGUCUUCUCUAAUUUUGCACCGAGUUUGUGUGAGGACUUUACACUUUCCAAGCCCUUGGAGAGGGGAGAAUUGGCAAAUAAGAGUAUAUGUACAUGUCAAAAGCAUCCAGGGGAUUUUAUUGCUGAACUAGAGUUAGACUGUAGUAAAGUGGAUAAGCUGUGUAAAAUACCUGCCCUUUAGAGAUGUGGCUGAAACAAUUCACUGAAGGUUUUCCUGUGAGAGGCUGUGGCUCUCCCAGGAGUGCUUUUCCAUAUUUGGUUCCAUCUUUUCCAUCCACAGAAGCAAAGACUACCUCUGUAUGUCACUCAUAGGACUGGGUCAAAUUGUUGUUCCAUAAAUUCAAAUAAACAUUUCUUUUCCCCCAUGAGAUUCCAUCAGGAUAUUUGAAUCCAAUAGUAUCUUUCAGUGCUCAGUGAGUUUAUUUUCCAUCUGCAUGUUUCCUAUUAAUCUGUGUCCAAAGUUGUUCCCACUAUUCCUUGUUGCAGUGCCAAGCCUGGACAUUCCCUCAGCUUUCUUUGGCGGAAAACAAAUGAAAAAACUUGGGAAGAACUCAUCUGUCUUUUGAGGAAGAAAACCCAGUAUGGACAUGAGAGAACAUGUUAUUAUGAACUUGAGUCUGUUAGGAGAGCAAUGUCAAUUGGGCUCCCAAAACUUACACUGCAUUUUAAUUACUGUGUGAUACUGGGGAGCCUAAAAGCAUGGAGCAUAAAAUGUUUGUAUGCAGCUCAGUUAAUAUAAAAGAGGACAAAGGAAGAGGUAGAGUGUCUUAUAAGAUUUUUAAUCUCAUUUCUUGCUGCUUCUUUUUAUUUUAAACCUUGCUUAAAUUUUGGCUUUAUUCUCUUUCCUCUUUAAAGUUCUGUCUCUUUUUGAUAUCUGGUGUGCAACUAUUCACUAAAUGGGUUCUAAUGUCAGAAAGACGUGGUUCCAGCAGGUGAUGAAACAUUUCUAUAUUUGUGAAACUCCAUUGUUAAUUGCCAUUCAAGUGGAAGAAAACAAUUUUCCUUCUUGAAUGGGAUAAAUGCCUGAGAAUUUUCACGCCACCGACAAUUUCUCUAUGUGUCCCGUGGGCUCUUCCCACUUACACCACUUAAACUUUGUUGAUUCAGAGAAAGAGUUCAGCAAACAUAGGCUCCAGGACACAUUCUGCUAUGUUUCUCUGGGGUUUUGGCUGUCAUUAAUGUGGCUUUUCCCAUUUUCUGCAAGGUUUUCAGAGGGGUGUGAGCCUUCCCUGACAUCAGCAGGUUUCUGUGAUGUCGAUUUUAUGGAGGCUGCUGCACACGUGCUGCCCGUGGUGCCAGCAUCCAGCGACAUCCUCCAGAUGCUGCUGAGGCUCCUGCAAGAAGUCCUGGGGCUCAACAGGCAGCCAGAGCUUCUUUCCACCACCUUUGCUGAGCAAAACACCUUUCCCAAGCACGGAGCCCUAAGUGGUGGGGAUCCUGCUGUGCAUUUCCACGUCUGUGAACUGCUGCACGUUCUCGGUGCUCUCCGGGGAGGUGAUGGGGGACACAACGUGCUUCAGGCGCAGGAGCAUGGAGAACAGCAGGAUCAGCAGGAGAGCCAGGAGGGUUAGGAACAGCCCCACGUACACAUAGAGGCCGGAAUAUUUGUCUGCUGUUGUGUCUACUUCAGUAGCCAGAGUCGGGAGGUGGACACG
ensembl:lncRNA